rnacentral:lncRNA from 1 species
UUGAACCCAAUCAAACCCAGCGUGAUGGGAUAAAGUAAUGUUAUGAGGGGAAGGAAGNUGAGUGAUAUUAGUGGUAGGAACAACAGUGGAAGGAGUUGGAGCAUGACUAUAAGCAAAAGCAACACCUUGAUCAUGAACAUCAACAAAAAGGUCUUCACCAGAACUUUGAAUAUUAUUUGUAACUAAUGCCACUAGAUCUGGUGAAAGAUCUAAUGAAGGAUUCAUACUCGCAGAAGCCNNN